rnacentral:rRNA from 1 species
AACGUAGGAGGCGAGCGUUAUCCGGAUUCACUGGGCGUAAAGCGCGUGUAGGCGGCUCGGCAAGUCGAUUGUGAAAGCCUCUGGCUCAACUGGGGGAGGACAAUCGAAACUGCAGGGCUUGAGGGUCUGAGAGGAAGGUGGAAUUCCCGGUGUAGCGGUGGAAUGCGUAGAGAUCGGGAGGAACACCAGUGGCGAAGGCGGCCUUCUGGCAGACCCCUGACGCUGAGAUGCGAAAGCGUGGGAAG